rnacentral:rRNA from 1 species
UACGUAGGCAGCGAGCGUUGUUCGGAGUUACUGGGCGUAAAGGGUGUGUAGGCGGUUGCUUAAGUUUGGUGUGAAAUCUCCCGGCUCAACUGGGAGGGUGCGCCGAAUACUGAGUGACUCGAGUGCGGGAGAGGAGAGUGGAAUUCCUGGUGUAGCGGUGAAAUGCGUAGAUAUCAGGAGGAACACCAAUGGCGAAGGCAGCUCGCUGGGACGGUACUGACGCCGAGA